AACGAACGCUGGCGGCAGGAUUAACACAUGCAAGUAGAGCGCCCCGCAAGGAGAGCGGCAGACGGGUGAGUAACGCGUGGGAAUCUACCCAUCUCUACGGACUCACGCAUGGAAACGUCUGCUAAUACCGUAUUCGUCCUUCGGGUGAAAGAUUUAUCGGAGACGGAUGAGCCCGCCUUGGAUUAGCUAGUUGGUGCGGUAAAGGCCUACCAAGGCGACGAUCCAUAGAUGGUCUGAGAGGAUGAUCAGCCACACUGGGACUGAGACACGGCACAGACUCCUACGGUAGGCAGCAGUGGGGAAUAUUGGACAAUGGGCGCAAGCCUGAUCCAGCCAUGCCGCGUGCGUGAUGAAGGCCCUAGGGUUGUAAAGCUCUUUCACCGGUGAAGAUAAUGACGGUAACCGGAGAAGAAGCCCCGGCUAACUUCGUGCCAGCAGCCGCGGUAAUAC
rnacentral:rRNA from 1 species